GGCAACUCCCAUGGUCUUCUAACAGGUGUCUGGCAAUUAGGAACAGGAGCAAUGACACUAGGCUUCAGUCAACACCUGACAUCCAGGACUUCUAUAACAGAGGAAGUCCCCAAAAAUGGUCAAAUACUCCAGCCAUCCAAGCCGUAGACUGUACUCUCUGCCACCACACGGCAAUCGGAAUCAGUGCAUCAGUCUGGAACCAACAGGACCCUGAACUGCUUCUACACCCAAGCCAUAAGACUGCUAAACAAGGCUGCUAUAUAGCUAAUCAAAUGGCUACCCAGACUGCCUGUAUGGUCCUUUUUUUUUUGCGCUCAGUCUCUUGCACUGACUAUGCACACACACUGGACUCUACCCACCCACUCACACAUAGUUACACUGACACUCCAGCACACACAGACAUACGCACACACACAUACGCUACAUAUGCACACGCAUGCAUACUGACACCACACACCACAAAUGCUGUUGCUAAUGUCGUAUCUAUCCUGUUGCCUAGUCACUCUACCUAUAUGUACAUACAGUUGAAGUCGGAAGUUUACAUACACUUAGGUUGGAGUCAUUAAAACUCGUUUUGCAACCAUCUCACAAAUUUAUUGUUAACAAACUAUAGUUUUGGCAAGUCAGUUAGGACAUCUACUUUGUGCAUGACACAAGUAAUUUUUUUCAACAAUUGUUUAGACAGAUUAUUUCACUAUUAACUCACUGUAUCACAAUUACAGUGGGCCAGAAGUUUACAUACACUACCGUAAGUUGACUGUGCCUUCAAACAGCUUGGAAAAAUCCAGAAAAUGAUGUCAUGACUUUAGAAGCAUCUGAUAGGCUAAUUUACAUUAUUUGAGUCAAUUGGAGGUGUACCUGUGGAUGUAUUUCAAGGCCUACCUUCAAACUCAGUGCCUCUUUGCUUGACACCAUGGGACAAUCAAAAGAAACCAGCCAAGACCUCAGAAAAUAAAUUGUAGACCCCCACAAGUCUGGUUCAACCUUGGGAGCAAUUUCCAAACGCCUGAAGGUACCACGUUCAUCUGUACAAAAAAUAGUACGCAAGUAUAAACACCAUGGGACCCCGCAGCCAUCAUACCGCUCAAGAAGGAAACGCGUUCUGUCUCCUAGAGAUGAAUGUACUUUGGUGCAAAAAGUGCAAAUCAAUCCCAGAACAACAGCAAAGGACCCUGUGAAGAUGCUGGAGGAAACCGGUACAAAAUUAUCUAUAUCCACAGUAAAACGAGUCCUACAUCGACAUACCCUGAAAGGCCGCUCAGCAAGGAAGAAGCCACUACUCCAAAACCACCAUUACAAAAACCAGACUACGGUUUGCAACUGCACAUGGGGACAAAGAUUGUACUUUUUGGAGAAAUGUCCUCUGGUCUGAUGAAACAAAAAUAGAACUGUUUGGCCAUAAUGAUCAUCGUUAUGUUUGGAGGAGAAAGGGGGAGGCUUGCAAGCCGAAUAACACCAUCCCAACCGUGAAGCACGGGGGUGGCGUCAUGUUGUGGGGGUGCUUUGCUGCAGGAGGGACAGAUGUGCUUCACAAAAUAGAUGGCAUCAUGAGACAGGAAAAUUAUGUAGAUAUAAUGAAGCAACAUCUCAAGGAAGUUGAAGCAACAUCUCAAGGAAGUUAAAGCUUGGUCGCAAAUGGGUCUUCCAAAUGGACAAUGACCCCAAGCGUACUUCCAAAGUUGUGGCAAAAUGGCUUAAGGACAACAAAGUCAAGGUAUUGCAGUGGCCUUCACAAAGCCCUGACCUCAAUCCCAUAGAACAUUUGUGGGCAGAACUGAAAAAGCAUGUGCGAACAAGGAGGCCUACAAACCUGACUCAGUUACACCAGCUCUGUCAGGAGGAAUGGACCAAAAUUCACCCAACUUAUUGUGUGAAGCAUGUGGAAGGCUACCCAAAAUGUUUGACCCAAGUUAAACAAUUUAAAGGCAAUGCUACCAAAUACUAAUUGAGUGUAUGUAAACUUCUGACCCACUGGGAUUGUGAUGAAAUAAAUAAAAGCUGAAAUAAAUCAUUCUCUCUACUAUUAUUCUGACAUUUCACAUUCUUAAAAUAAAGUAGUGAUCUAACUGACCUAAGACGGGGCAUUUUUACUAGGAUUAAAUGUCAGGAAUUGUGAAAAACAGAGUUUAAAUGUAUUUGGCUAAGGUGUAUGCAAACUUCCGACUUCAACUGUAACUACCUCAAUUACCUCGUACCCCUUGCACAUUCCACUGUUACUCCCUGUAUAUAGCAAUCCCACUGUGCACAGACGCCAAUUCAACAUCUAUUUCAUAUUGGUUCAAUGUAAUUUCAUUGAAAUUACGUGGAAAAAAACGUUGAUUCAACCUGUGCGUUCCCAGUCGAACACACUGGUUAAUCACUGUAAUUAUUUUUGGUCACUAUUUCCCUUCAAAAAUAUACUCUGCAUUGUUGGAAAAGGACUUGUAAGCAAGCAUUUCACUGUUUGUCUACACCUGUUGUUUACAAAACAUGUGACAGAUAAAAAUGAUUUUUAUUUGAACAUGACAAAUGGAUGGAGAGGAACCGUGCAGAAGUUUUCGCAACUUUGUUCCUGAAGACCUUGAUAGUCAAUGCUCAUUAAUCAGGCUGAAAAUAGCUAAACAUUUGAAUGUGCAAUGACACCAACACUCACUCACACACAGCUGAGGCCGGCAGAGAUAGAGUUAAAGGCCCAGCCAAAGCAAAAGGCCAAUGAUGCAGACACUCUCUGUUACUACAUGUGCCUAGUGAAUGUGUGCGUCAUGACUGGUAAAAACAAUGACACAUGCUUCUACAGUAGAGUUUAUCAGAAUCUAAAGGAAUAAGACCCAUUUAGUGCUAAUAGUUCAUUCUCAUCACUUUUUUUUAUACCAAUAUACCUCUUUGAGGAAUUUCACCCUGGGAAAAUCUGGGCUUGGUUUCAUCAUGUCUGAAGCAUUUCUAGGACAGUGAGAUGUGUUUCACACGCAAUUAACGUGUAGCAAGGCAGGUCAGGGCUUCGCACGCUGAAUGAUGCACCCUAUGGCGGCUUCCAGUGUAUUGAUGGGGCGGGGGUUAAGAUCUAAAAACACAUGUAGUCCUGCUUCGUGGCAUUUCGCAAAGGCUCUAUGUUAUACUGAUCAUUGUUGUGGGUGUAGAUAUGGUUGUCCUUGUUCAAUAGAGCCAUUGGACUUCUUUCAGCAAUGUUCCUAUUGGCGGAUUCAUUGCUAAAUAUACAAGCAGACCAUUCUUUUUCCGGUCUCUGCAAGACUACAACUUGUGUUGUGCAGUGCUUUGUGCUCCAGCCCCCGUCACUCCCCCAAGGCGGGUUUCAUUUAAAUGGAGGCGGACACGAACAACAAUCCUUUGGGCAAAAACUGAAUGAGCUCACCAAGACACAAUGGCUUCAAGUGAUUCCUCUCAUCAACAUGAAUUUCGACGAUGGAGCUAUCUAUUAGCUACAUGGUGACGUUCAAGCCCACAUGUUUCAAUCGGAAGAUGGCGAAGAGGAUUCGAAUCAAAGAGUUGGAUUGAGCUAAUAUUAGAAGCUCAGCUAAAGCCGAUGCCAGCACCUAGAGGGCAGAUGACAAAUGCGGUACUUAGCUAAACAAUACCGUAUGGUGCCUGGGCAUCUUCCUGGAGUGGAUUCUAGAUAUAGAAACAGAAUUCCUUUGCCUGCAUGUGUCAUUGUAGCAGAACUGUAUCCCGUGAACUGUAUCCCUCUCGGGGAUUAGACAUUAUGCUAAAUUUCAAGCAGAUGACUCAUGAGGAGCUGAAUGGCAGUUUGAUCAUGAUGCUUCUCCCACAUCUUUACAAGUAUUCCCUGAACUUACUGUAUGUUUCUUUGGAAUGGAAAUUUUAUCCUGACCACCUCUCCCAUCUGCUGAUCACCAGUUCUGUCAGCUACAGAUUGUUAAAUAAUGUGAUUUAACCAAAGAUUUUUGGAAUCUAUUACUGGGAGUUACAGGAUAGGUACUGUUUGGUGUGGCAGAGAAUUUUCGGACAACCUUAGCAAUUCCGUCUUCAUCCUCGAUUUGGGGGAUAAAGGAGUUUCACAAAAUGCCAUUGUCCGGUUGCAUUGGGUCAGGUUGAAUUUAGAAAAUGCUCUGUUAUGAAAAUACUUCUUUGCUCCAUAAAGUAAUUCAACAAUAUUUGCGCUGCCAUCAUGUCUUCUCACUCAUUGAUCGAGACAGGUCUCUGUCACAUGACUUGCAGCACUUUGGGGUGGACACCCACCUGUUAUGAUCAAUGAAAGAAGACUUAUCAUCACCAAGAUGUCUGCAGAAAUCUGUGGGUAAAUCACAUUAUCUAGUGUAACAAUCUGUAGCUACAGUUCUCUGCACUUGUGUGUCUCUACACCUGAGAUGCACUCGGACACACUGAACUGUACUACACUGUUAAUUUAAAAAAAGUGUUACUUUUACCAUGUAACAUUGUUGUUGAAUACACAGUUGUUUUGAGUUAGCAUUAAAGAGUGUACAUUCCUAUA